rnacentral:rRNA from 1 species
UACAGAGGGUGCUAGCGUUGUUCGGAAUCAUUGGGCGUAAAGGGCGUGUAGGCGGUUUGUUAAGUCAUGUGUGAAAUCCCUCGGCUCAACCGGGGGAAGGACGCAUGAAACUGGCAAGCUAGAGUACCAAAGAGGGGGGUGGAAUUCCCGGUGUAGCGGUGAAAUGCGUAGAUAUCAGGAGGAACACCAAUUGCGAAGGCAGCUCGCUGGGACGUUACUGACGCUGAGACGCGAAAGCGUGGGGAGCAAACAGG